UACGAAGGGGGCAAGCGUUGUCCGGAAUCAUUGGGCGUAAAGAGCGUGUAGGCGGCUCGAUAAGUCCGCUGUGAAAGUCCAGGGCUCAACCCUGGAAGGCCGGUGGAAACUGUCGGGCUAGAGUCCGGAAGAGGCGAGUGGAAUUCCCGGUGUAGCGGUGAAAUGCGCAGAUAUCGGGAGGAACACCAAUGGCGAAGGCAGCUCGCUGGGACGGUACUGACGCUGAGACGCGAAAGCGUGGGGAGCAAACAGG
rnacentral:rRNA from 1 species